rfam:Dacryopinax sp. DJM-731 SS1 chromosome Tnknown DACRYscaffold_23, whole genome shotgun sequence.
UCCGAGGUAGUGUAACGGAACACACGAGUAGUUGACUAACGACUUCUUGACCUGGGUUCAAGCCCCAGUCUUGGAA